rnacentral:rRNA from 1 species
UUCGCAAUGCCCGAAAGGGUGACGAAGCGACGCCGCGUGUGGGAAGAAGGCCUUCGGGUUGUAAACCACUGUCGGGAGUUAAGAAAUGCAAGGAUAUUAAUAGUGUCUUUGUUUGACUAAGGCUCCGGAGGAAGCCACGGCUAACUCUGUGCCAGCAGCCGCGGUAAUACAGAGGCGGCAAGCGUUGUUCGGAAUUAUUGGGCGUAAAGAGCACGUAGGCGGCUAUGUAAGUCGGUUGUGAAAGCCUUCCGCUCAACGGAAGAACAGCAUCCGAUACUGCAUGGCUUGAGUGCGGGAGGGGAGAGUGGAACUUCUGGUGGAGCGGUGAAAUGCGUAGAUAUCAGAAGGAACGCCGGCGGCGAAAGCGGCUCUCUGGCCCAUAACUGACGCUGAGUGUGCGAAAGCUAGGGGAGCAAACGGGAUUAGAUACCCCGGUAGUCCUAGCCGUAAACGAUGGGCACUAAGUAGAGGGGUUUU